rnacentral:misc_RNA from 1 species
GAUGAAGAACGUAGCGAAAUGUGAUACUUGGUGUGAAUUGCAGAAUCCCGUGAACCAUCGAGUUUUUGAACGCAAGUUGCGCCCGAAGCCGUUAGGCCGAGGGCACGCCUGCCUGGGUGUCACACAUCGUUGCCCCAAUGCCAAUCGCCUCACUUUGUAGGUAUUUGCUUGGGGUGAAUGUUGGCCUCCCGUGAGCUUUGUCUCACGGUUGGUUGAAAAUCGAGUGCAUGGUGUCGGGUGUACCAUGAUGGAUGGUGGUUGAGUGAUGAUGCUCGAGACCAAUCAUGGGUAACUCCACCAGAAUUGGGCUCGGUGACCCACAUGCGUCCCUUGGAUGCUCCCUAAGGAGACCUCAGGUCAGGGGGGGCUACCCGCUGAGUUUAAGCAUAUCAAUAAGCGGAGGA